GAGAUAACUGAGCUCCAUCACACCUGGAAGUCAAGGACUGGACUCAGACUGGAAGGGCAUGACUGGCAUCUUCCCAACUGCUGCAGAUCUUGAGACUUCCCAUCUUCCAUGAUCAUGAUGACAGAUAUUCACUGAGCGCCAACUAUACACCAGGCAUUUGCACUAGGAACUGGAAAUAUGAUGGUGCCCUAAAAAAAUGUGUCACUCUUGCCCUUACGGACCUUUGCAUUGCUGCUAGGAAAUAUGCUUUUCUUUCGUUUCCUUAACUCCAAAACAUAUCAUUUCAUUUACAGCUUCUUGGUGGCAGGAAAUAUUAUCCUGGUAAAUGAUGGGUCAAUAACAGAAGGUGGCCUUGAAUCAAAAAACUAAAUAAAUGCUCAUGGAAUUCUACAUAGGAGUUGAAAGAAAUAUACAAACAUACAAAACAAUCCUCUCUGUAUAAUAUACGCGGGAAUGUUCAGAACACCCAGACACAGGUGAGGCUCUUCUCUGUGUGUGUGGAGGAGAAUGAGCUCAGAGACCAGGGAGGGAUACAGGGGAUUUCAGCAAAUGUUAAUAUUUAAUUUUUUAGCUGGGUACUGUGUACACAGGUGUAUAUAAUAUACAUACAUAAUUAUAUGUACACGUAAAAUGUAUAUA